rnacentral:sRNA from 1 species
CAUAUAUCUCUUACGGGAAGGAUGAGAAGCUUCGACUAAGGUUCGAUUCGAGCGAAAGCGAGAAAGCGUUGCCGCAGGCAACGACCCGAAGGGCGAAGCGCGCAGCGCUGAGUCAUCCUUCCCCCACCACCA